GAACGCACAUUGCGCCCCUCGGUAUUCCGGGGGGCAUGCCUGUUCGAGCGUCAUUAUAACCCUCAAGCCUAGCUUGGUGUUGGAGCAUGCUACCUAGCAGCUCUUAAAAUCAGUGGCAGUGCCCUUCGGCUCUAAGCGUAGUAACUCUUCUCGCUAUAGAAAUCGGAUGGUACGCGCCAGAACCCCUAACUUUCUAUGGUUGACCUCGGAUCAGGUAGGGAUACCCGCUGAACUUAAG
rnacentral:misc_RNA from 1 species